ACCCGCUGAACUUAAGCAUAUCAAUAAGCGGAGGAAAAGAAACCAACAGGGAUUGCCCUAGUAACGGCGAGUGAAGCGGCAACAGCUCAAAUUUGAAAUCUGGCUCUUUUAGGGUCCGAGUUGUAAUUUGCAGAGGGCGCUUUGGCGUUGGCAGCGGUCCAAGUUCUUUGGAACAGGACGUCACAGAGGGUGAGAAUCCCGUACGUGGUCGCUAUCCUUCGCCGUGUAAAGCCCCUUCGACGAGUCGAGUUGUUUGGGAAUGCAGCUCUAAAUGGGAGGUAAAUUUCUUCUAAAGCUAAAUACUGGCCAGAGACCGAUAGCGCACAAGUAGAGUGAUCGAAAGAUGAAAAGCACUUUGGAAAGAGAGUCAAAUAGCACGUGAAAUUGUUGAAAGGGAAGCGCUUGCGACCAGACUUGACCGCGGAUGCUCAGCCGGCCCUCCGGCCGGUGUACUCUUCCGCGGUCAGGCCAGCAUCAGUUUGGGCGGCCGGAUAAAGGCCUCGGGAAUGUGGCUCCCCUCGGGGAGUGUUAUAGCCCGGGGUGCAAUGCGGCCCGCCCGGACUGAGGUCCGCGUAUCUGCUAGGAUGCUGGCGUAAUGGCUGU
rnacentral:rRNA from 1 species